UACGUAGGGGGCGAGCGUUGUCCGGAUUUAUUGGGCGUAAAGGGCGCGUAGGCGGCCUGGCGCGUCAUGGGUGAAAUCUCCCGGCUCAACUGGGAGGGGUCCUGUGAGACGGCUGGGCUGGAGGCUGGCAGGGGGAAGCGGAAUUCCCGGUGUAGUGGUGGAAUGCGUAGAGAUCGGGAGGAACACCAGUGGCGAAGGCGGCUUCCUGGACCAGGCCUGACGCUGAGGCGCGAAAGCGUGGGGAGCGAUCCGG
rnacentral:misc_RNA from 1 species